ACGAACGCUGGCGGCGUGCUUAACACAUGCAAGUCGAACGGUGAAGCGCCUUCCUUUUUGGUGGGUGUGGAUGAGUGGCGAACGGGUGAGUAACACGUGAGUAACCUGCCCCCUUCUUCUGGAUAACCGCAUGAAAGUGUGGCUAAUACGGGAUAUUCUGGGUCUGUCGCAUGAUGGGUCUGGGAAAGAUAUUGUUUCGGUGGGGGAUGGGCUCGCGGCCUAUCAGCUUGUUGGUGGGGUGAUGGCCUACCAAGGCGGUGACGGGUAGCCGGCCUGAGAGGGUGGACGGUCACACGGGGACUGAGACACGGCCCAGACUCCUACGGGAGGCAGCAGUGGGGAAUAUUGCACAAUGGGCGCAAGCCUGAUGCAGCGACGCCGCGUGAGGGAUGGAGGCCUUCGGGUUGUGAACCUCUUUCGCCAGUGAAGCAGGCCUGCCUCGUUUGUGGGUGGGUUGACGGUAGCUGGAUAAGAAGCGCCGGCUAACUACGUG
rnacentral:rRNA from 1 species